GACGAACGCUGGCGGCGUGCUUAACACAUGCAAGUCGAACGAAGAGCGACGGAAGCUUGCUUCUAUCAAUCUUAGUGGCGAACGGGUGAGUAACGCGUAAUCAACCUGCCCUUCAGAGGGGGACAACAGUUGGAAACGACUGCUAAUACCGCAUACGAUCUAACCUCGGCAUCGAGGAUAGAUGAAAGGUGGCCUCUACAUGUAAGCUAUCACUGAAGGAGGGGAUUGCGUCUGAUUAGCUAGUUGGAGGGGUAACGGCCCACCAAGGCGAUGAUCAGUAGCCGGUCUGAGAGGAUGAACGGCCACAUUGGGACUGAGACACGGCCCAGACUCCUACGGGAGGCAGCAGUGGGAAAUCUUCCGCAAUGGACGAAAGUCUGACGGAGCAACGCCGCGUGAGUGAUGACGGCCGUCGGGUUGUAAAGCUCUGUUAAUCGGGACGAAAGGCCUUCUUGCGAAUAGUGAGAAGGAUUGACGGUACCGGAAUAGAAAGCCACGGCUAACUACGUG
rnacentral:rRNA from 1 species